AACGAACGCUGGCGGCAUGCCUAACACAUGCAAGUCGAACGGGAUCCUGGCUUCGGUCAGGUGAGAGUGGCGGACGGGUGAGUAACGCGUGGGAACCUGCCCAGUGGUGGGGGAUAACUGCGGGAAACUGCAGCUAAUACCGCAUGAGCCCGAGAGGGGAAAGAUUUAUCGCCAUUGGAGGGGCCCGCGUUUGAUUAGGUAGUUGGUGAGGUAACGGCUCACCAAGCCGACGAUCGAUAGCUGGUCUGAGAGGAUGAUCAGCCACACUGGGACUGAGACACGGCCCAGACUCUUACGGGAGGCAGCAGUGGGGAAUCUUGGACAAUGGGCGAAAGCCUGAUCCAGCCAUGCCGCGUGAAUGAUGAAGGCCCUAGGAUUGUAAAAUUCUUUCGACGGGGAAGAUAAUGACGGUACCCGUAGAAGAAGCUCCGGCUAACUUCGUGCCAGCAGCCGCGGUAAU
rnacentral:rRNA from 1 species